GGGUAAAUAGCUUAGCUGGUUAGAGCAUUCGGCUCAUAUCCGAAAGGUCUGUGGUUCAAGUCCACAUUUACCCA
rnacentral:tRNA from 1 species